ACCUGGGAUUGCGCAACGCUGCAUAUAAAAAUGUGAAAGUGGAAAGCACAACACAAGUGAAGAAGUGGGUGCAGAGGAAAGGUGUCAUCGGCACAGAAUUCAGAAGACUAAUUUCCCCAUUGCCCUUUAUCUACCUGCAAUAAAAGAGACAGCAAAUGGAACCUGCGGCUGUAUGUGUGAUAAAGCAACGUCAUUUCAAAGGAUCCAUGUCUACAUAUCAUGAUAUCCAGCAUGAAGGGCCUGAGGCAGAUGCAGAGACGGGGGGAGAUGCAGGGGCUCGGGAACAUGCAGGGGCUCGGGAACAUGCAGGGGCUCGGGAACAUGCAGAGACCUGGGGAGAUGCAGAGACUGGGGGAGAUGCAGAAGAUGGGGGAGAUGCAGAGACUGGGGGAGAUG